rnacentral:lncRNA from 1 species
UUUCUCUUUUUCAGUUUUAGAUCCAACUUACUGUCCACCAGAAAGAGCUAUCCAAAUCAACUGAUGAAAGAAGGUGGGAGGGAAGGAAGGAAAGAGAAAAAAAGAAAGAGAAAGAUCCUUGUAACAAUUAUGCAUAGUUAAGCAACAUGAACUCCACCAUUUGUCAUGUCCAAAAUAUGUGCCUCAUUCUGCAUGUUGAGCCCAUCACCAUGUUGAAAGAUGGGACAGUAGAAGGGACAAGGAUAUCUGAAAAAUAAAAAAGUGGAUCAAGAAAGAGAAAGAAGGUGGUGUAAAGAAGAAAAAGGAGGAGGGGACUUUGUUCCAGAUAGACAUAGAAUGCCUGAAAACAAGUCUCUGCAGGAAUCUUGUUAGGGAUGCACCUGUGUCUGGGGAGAAGCUGAAAAAUUGAAGAUGUGAAUGUAAAGAUGGAGGAGAUAAAGACACAAAGGACCAACAGAGAUGGAGAAGAAAGAGGGCUGGGCAGGAAAAGAGAGCAGGUUGGAAAUGUAUGCUUCUUUGUAUCACUCAGUGCUUAGCAUAAUGCCUAUCACCUGCAAAGCACAUUUUAAAAAUCCCAUCUACUUUGUCUCCCCAGCAUUGAGUAUAGUGUCUCUGCUUAGUCAAUGUUCAUUUAUUCUUUUCCAGGGGAGAAAGAAGACUGAGCAGUGACCCUAGAGACAGAGACCUAGAUUUUAAUUCUAGCUUUUCUCCUUCCUAUCUAUAUGACCCAAGAAUUAUUACAACUCAAUUUCUUUAAAAUGAAAAGUGAUAUUAGAUGAUCUUUAAGUGCUGGUAAUGAUUAAACACAAGUUUUCCAAAACAGAACACCACACUUUCAAAUAUAAUCUAUGUUAUUAACAUUUCCCCCCACACUUUCUUAAGCCUAGACAAUCAACUAAACAAUAAAUCAAGGCUAAUUUGUAGUGUUUAUCUAUUUCAAGGGUAUAAAUGCCUCAAGUGAAAAUUUUACAAAAGGUUUUUUUAAAAAGUGAGCUGUUUUUAGCAAACCUUUGGGAGUCAGUGAUUCUCACUAAAUAGAACUUUAAGGAACCAGCACAGGUCCUGAAGUGCCAGUUGGAGCAGGAGGGACGGCAAAAGCUCCAGUGGAAACAAGCAGAGUCUGAAGAGGCAACUACAGAACUAUUCAACACUUGACUUUUUACUUCUUAG